rnacentral:misc_RNA from 1 species
CACGAAAAGGAGGAGUUUUUUUUGCUCUGUUGCCGGUAGCACAGCAGCAGCCACUAUAAGACAAGCGGUAAGGUAGUGUGGGUUUGGCCCUUUUUGCUAUGCAAGCUGCAAGAGAAAAGCUGCCCCCACCAACUGUGGCCGUUGGCAUUGGGAUAGAGGUACAGGGCUUUAAAGUGAGAGAAAGAAAAGGGAUUUUAUUAGACUGAGAAUAGAAAUAGUUUCUGGGUUUAUUUAUACAAGACGAAGAAAGAAAACUAGUGGUAACAGAAGUACAAAGGAGGGGGCUUGAAGGGCUCUUUUGCAGCAGCUUCUGCAUCCCUAAAAAGCAUUUCGAAGCAGCACUAUUGGGAUUGAAAAUUUGAGUAGGAAGCGAGAAGACUGGAAGAAGAAGAUGUAUGACAAAUAGAUGGG